rnacentral:rRNA from 1 species
AGAGUUUGAUCAUGGCUCAGGAUGAACGCUGGCGGCGUGCUUAACACAUGCAAGUCGAACGAAGCACUCUUUUAGAUUUCCUUCGGGGGAGAAGAAAUUGUGACUGAGUGGCGGACGGGUGAGUAACGCGUGGGCAACCUGCCCCAUACAGGGGGAUAACAGCCGGAAACGGCUGCUAAAACCGCAUAAGCGCACAAGGGCCGCAUGGCCUGGUGUGAAAAACUCCGGUGGUAUGGGAUGGGCCCGCGUCUGAUUAGCUAGUUGGCGGGGGAGAGGCCCACCAAGGCGACGAUCAGUAGCCGACCUGAGAGGGUGGCCGGCCACAUUGGGACUGAGACACGGCCCAAACUCCUACGGGAGGCAGCAGUGGGGAGUAUUGCACAAUGGGGGAAACCCUGAUGCAGCGACGCCGCGUGAGCGAAGAAGUAUUUCGGUAUGUAAAGCUCUAUCAGCAAGGAAGAAAAAUGACGGUACCUGAGUA